UACGUAGGGUGCAAGCGUUAAUCGGAAUUACUGGGCGUAAAGCGUGCGCAGGCGGUUUUGUAAGUCUGUCGUGAAAUCCCCGGGCUCAACCUGGGAAUUGCGAUGGAGACUGCAAGACUAGAAUCUGGCAGAGGGGGGUAGAAUUCCACGUGUGAGCAGUGAAAUGCGUAGAUAUCUGGAGGAACACCGGUGGCGAAGGCGGCAUCCUGGACCGGCAUUGACGCUGAGGCGCGAAAGCUAGGGGAGCAAACGGG
rnacentral:rRNA from 1 species